AGUUUUUUCUUGUAGAACUACUUUCCGCAUUGGCGGCCUUCGGCAGCGCUUCAAAAAAAUAACCCUGGUCGAUCCAACACCAGGAGUUAUUAAAGAGGGGGAAAUUAAAAGUUCUUUCGCAAAGAACUACUUUCCGCAUUGGCGGCCUUCGGCCGCGCUUCAAAAAAAUAGACCUGGUCGAGCCAACACCGGGAGUUAUCAAAGAGGGGGAAAUGAAAAAGUUUUUUCUUGUAGAACUACUUUCCGCAUUGGCGGCCUUCGGCCGCGCUUCAAGAAAAUAACCCUGGUCGGGCCAUCACCGGGGGUUAUCAAAGAAAAGGUAAUACCGAGAUUUUGCAUUAGUCAUAACACCAUUAUGGUUUAUAUAUUUGGUGUAUAAUCCUUCAUUUUUCUGUUUAUUUUUAUUCUUUUAAUUUUUGCAAAAUGUUUGAUAUGGCAACACUCAUUACUUGUUAACCUGCAACCAUUUUACUAUUUUUUAGACGAAGAUUUGUUUAAAAUGUUAAAUCUUUAUUUACAGCUAUUUUCGUCAUAAUUUUUUUAAAAUAAAUAUGCAGAAACAAUGUGAUGAAGUGUAUGUGUAAAAUAAGUGCAUAAUAUUAAUAAAAUAUUCUGUAUAUAUUGUGAAAAUUUGAGAUAAAAGUUGUACUUGUUUCAUCUUUAAGUGCGAAUAUCUCGAAAACUAUAAGUCAACUGCAGCUAUAUAUAUAUAUAUUCUUAAUCUGGAGAACCUCCUCUUUCCAACGAUACCCAUUAUUAUACCGAAAGCCUGGGAUAGUAUACUAAAUCCGACCCCUAGUAUAGCGUAGUUUUAGUUUUCGAGAUAUCCGCGUUUAAAGUUUAAAAAUUGUCUAAUUUUAACACGUAAUUUCUCGCUUUUCAUUUAUAUUUUGCACUUAUUAUACACUUACACUUCACUACUUUCUUACCAUAUAUUUAUUUUAUAUUAAUUAAUUUGAAAUUUGCUUUAAAUAAGCAUUUUAAUUUUUAUUCAAUUUUAUCAAUUCACACAAUAAGAAAAGGGUUGCAUGCUGACGAAAAAUAAGCAAUGCACUUAUUAUACACUAACAAUUCACUAAAUUGUUUCCACAUAUUUAUUUUUAUACUCUCGCAACAAAUGUUGCUAAAGAGAGUAUUAUAGUUUUGUUCACAUAACGGUUGUUUGUAACACCCAAAACUAAACGAGUUAGAUAUAGGGUUAUAUAUACCAAAGUGAUCAGGGUGAAGAGUGGAGUUCAAAUCCGAAUGUCUGUCUGUCCGUCCGUCCGUCCGUCUGUGCAAGCUGUAACUUGAGUAAAAAUUAAGAUAUCUUGAUGAAACUUGGCACACUUAUUUCUUGGCACCAUAGGAAGGUUGCUUUCGAAAAUGAGCCACCACUGCCACGCCCACAAAAUGGCGAAAACCGAAAACACGUAAAGUGCCAUAACUAAGCCAUAAAUAAAGCUAUGGAAAUAAAAUUUGGUAUGAAGGAUCGCACUAUGAAGGGGCAUAUUUAGAUGUAAUUUUUUUGGGGAAGUGGGCGUGGCCCCGCCCCCUACUAAGUUUUUUGUACAUAUCUCGCAAAUCAAUAGAGCUAUAUAAACCAAACUUUCUGCAGUCGUUUUUUUUAGCCACUUCCUAAUACAGUCCAAAAAUGAAAGAAAUCGGAUCAUAACCACGCCCACCUCCCAUACAAAAGCUAGGUUGAAAAUUACUAAAAGUGGGUUAACUCACUAACGAAAAACGUCAGAAACACUAAAUUUCACAUAAGAAAUGGCAGAUGAAAGGUGCAUUCAGAUUUUUAUACAAAAUGGAAAAUGGGCGUGGCGUCGCCCACUUAUGGGUUAAAAACCAUGUCUCAGGAACUACUCGACCGAUUUCCAUGAAACUUGGUUUGUAAUAGUUUAAUUACAUCCCAAUGAUAUGUUGUGAAAAUAGGCCAAAUCGCUUCACAUCCACGCCUACUUCCUAUAUACCAGAACUUUGAAGUGGAUCUGAAUCGUUUACUUUACAAUAUAUAAAGUAAGUACUAGUGAAGAUAUCGGUGCAGAACUUUGCACAAAUACUAUGUUAAGAGUGUGGCAGCCCCAUUCUAAAAAUCGCCGAAAUCGGACCAUAGGUUUUAAGGCCCCAUAUAUCGAACACGAGGACCUCGGUGCUUCUAACCUAAUAUUAUGGUUUCCAACUUUCAACGUACUUUAUACAAUAUAUAUGACGAAUAUGUGGGUCAAAUUGUGUAUUAUAUAAUAUAAAUAAAGUUAAAUAAAUAAAUUGCGAGAGUAUAAAAUGUUCGGUUACACCUGAACUUAGCCCUUCCUUACUUGUUUAUCAGUUAGUUUAAUAUUUGCUUUAAAUAAGCAUUUUAAUUUUUACACAAUUUUGUUUAUAUGCACAAUAACCAUGUUGACAGAUAUCAAUUAUAUAAAUUCGUAAUCUGGAGAUCCUCUUUCCAACCUACCUAUUUUAACCUUGAAAUCGGGGAGAUACUUUUUCCAGGCUUUCGGGGAUAAAAUGGAUAUGAUUGGAAAGAGGAGGAUCUCCAGAUUAAGAAUAUAUAUAAUUAUAGCUCCAGCUGACAUACACGUUAUUUUCCCUGUAUAUUGAAUUUGUCACAUGUAUUUUGCACUAUACAUAUAUUUUCACAUCACCAAUUUGUUUCUACGUAUUUAUUUAAAAUUAUUUAUUUCGAAAUUUGCUUUAAAUAAGCACUUAUUAAAUUUUAUCACUAUCACAAUAACAAAAGAGUUGCAUUGUGACAAAAAAUAAGUAUGAGAACACUGUUUUACAGAAGAAUCAAACUAAAUAAAGAAAAAGGAUGUUUACUCAAAAUCUCUUGCCAUUUCCUUUUCUUUGAUAAUCCCCGCUGUUCGCUAGACAAGAGUUAUUUUUUUUGAAUCGCGGCCGAAGGCUGCCAAUGUAGAAAGUGGUUUUACGUGAGUGUUACUGGGGGAUUUGAGGACAUUUUAAGUUAAUUAGCUCAAAAUAAACACUUUUUACUAAUUAAAUGGUUAUUAUGCAUAUAUCUUAAUCGUAAUCUAGAGAUCCUCCUCUUUCCAACCAUACCCAUUUCACCCUGAAAACAUGGGAUAGUAUACUAAAGUUUCCCCGUAGUUUUAGAUGUAUAUUGUCCGCGCUUGUCAACUGUUAAAAUUUGCUGCGGUAGCGUUAAUACCAGACAAACAUACUCUUUCAAGGUUAUUUAGUAAAAAUUAUUCAAAUUGUUUAAUAGUAAUAUUAAAUUUCAAUAAAUAACACUUAAUACCAACAUUAAAUUUAAUAAAUAUGCGUAAUAAUUUAAAAUAAUUCCAAUAAUAAUGAAAAAAAAUAUUUUAUUUAAUAAUUAUUUAAGUACUGUUCAUCGGACUUUAAAAGUUUUGUGAAGAUUAAAUGCUAGCACAACACCCUAAUUACCACAAUUGUAGCAAAAAAAGCGUAGCACACAACCCAAGUACGCCUCGGUGGUGUGUUAAAAGUUGAAAAGUAAUGUAAACAAACAAAGGUUUUCUACUGUAUAUACUGAGGUAUAGACUACUUACUCAACAUAUCGUGGGACGGUAAACUAAAGUCGACCCCGGAUUACUUUGUCGGUCGAAGUUUGACAACAAGUUCCGGCAUAAAUGGGAUAUCGGAUGAGGAGAAGGCUCUCCAGAAAAGGAAUAUAUAUAAAUAUAGUUGAUUGGACUAGCUGGACUGGAUAUUGGACUAGUCAGUUUUGAAAUAUUUGUAUCUAAAUGUCCAAUUUUUUCCAUAAAUAUCACAUGGCAUUUCACACAUUUUAACGCAAUUUUCUCACAUUUUUCAAUUCUUAUAUUGAUAAUUACACUGUUAACAUUCAAUUUAAUUCAAAUUUUACAUAUAUUUAAGGUUUAUAAAGUAAAAUUUUCUUAUUUUAAAAAUCAAGUAGCUCACUAAUAGUUGGAAAGGUUUCAGUGUUUACAAUUAUGUGGAAACCGACCGUUGCCACAUCUUAGAAACUAUAUGUGAAGGAUUUUGCAACACUGCGUUUUAUUUAAUAGCAUAUCAUAGUUUUUUGUCGUAGAACUUUUUUCUCCUUUCGCGUAGAACUCCUUUCUGCAUUGGAAAAGGAAAACGGUACUUGUAAUUCAAACAACAGGUAGCACUUAUGGUACAAGCCUGCGCUAAAAUGUCCUUUUAAUCAUGCGCAAUAGUGUUGCACCAUUUUCUUAGGUGGAGAAAUAUUUAAAUCUGCACAAAAAUAUAUUUUUAUCCCUUUGUUUCGAGCUAUGUCUCACGUUUUAUUUAAUCAAUUAAAAUGUGUUUCAAAGUAAAAAACAAAAAAAUAUAUAUAUUUGUAUUGGCAUUUUUGUCUAUAAUUUGUGCUUGGAGUCGUCUUUACCUUUGUGAAUAGUCUACAUAUGUAAAACAAAAUUUGCCAACACUGGGCAAGCGAUACAAUUUUUAAUGAGGCGAGCAGCGCCCAAAGAUAGCGAGCAGAGAAGUGACCAAUCGAUUGUAUUGCAUGUAUACAAUUAUGAGGAGAAUUAGUGUUGGAGGAGUUUCUUACAAAGAUAAAAGGGGGAUUCUCUUACAUAUAUAUUUUAUAGCAAUUCAUUAUCGUUAUGUUUUCUUAAAAUAAGAAGCAUUUUAAUUUUUACACAAUUUUGUUUAAAUGUACAAUAACCAUUUUAUCAAGGUCUGAAUAAAAAGGGGAUUAUACCUUAAAUACUUGAGUUAUAAUAAUUUCAUUCCUUUCUCUUACUAAACCACGAUAUUGGAUCGACUAUGGUUAUUUUUUCGAAGCGCGACCGAAGGCCGUCAAUGCAGAAAGAAGUAAUGCGCGAAAGUACUAAGGACCACACCGAUGUUGGAUCGACCAGGGUUAUUUUUUUAUUUUGAAGCGUGGCCAAGGCCGCCAAUGCGCGAAAGUUGUAUGUUAUUUUUAAUAUUUUAGACAUACUUCCAGAACCAAACGUUUAGCAGCAUUUCUUCCUUUAAUCUUCUAGGACACUGUUGUCCUCCUUACCAUUUCUUUCUCCAUUGGCAUAAAUCAUAAACUUUAAAUCAAUCAGUAACCAGAAAUUAUCCUCGCAGUCUUCUACGCCGUUUUUUCCUGGACAGCAGGCCGAUAAGCCAGGAACAUGGAUAUAUGGACAUCCUGUGUACCUGUGGAGAUACCUGUCCACCAGCUUUCCAAAAAUGCCCCUCCAAAUUUCGGAUUAAGCGUUCCACCAUGAUAUCGAAUCGUGGAUGUGAUGUAGCUUCAAAUAAUUUCCGGACAUAUAGCUUCUGGCACAUCUCCCAACUUUUGAUGUCCACGUCCACCAUCUCGUCAGUCUCUUUACCAUGAAUUGGGCACACCUCUGUCCUGACCAACAAAACACUCCUGUUUCCUGAUUUACUGCUUCAUCUGACCAUGACUCUUGGAACUUGACACUUUUGUUGCAAUGCACUUUCUUGUUUAUUGACCACAACCAACCUUGAUUCUUAAAUUUUUCCAAGGCUUUCCUGAUUCUCAAGUAUCCUUGAUUUGGACCUUUGUGCAACUCGUUGCGAACUUUAGGUAAUCUUUUAUUCCGAACAAUCAUAUGAGAUCGGAAGCUUUGUCCUUGUUUUGCUUUUCCACACUCGAUAUAAGCAACCAGCCACCAACUUAAAACUGUUCCACUUGGUUUUUGCGACUAGAGGCUCUGCAGCCAUUUCUUCUUCCUUUGGACGUUUGUUCCGUUCUACUACUCCAUGCAUUUCACAACUGGAGCUUCUUGUUGAGAUUCUUGUUGUUCCUUCGGAUUACAAUCUUUUGUCCAUGACACUUCUGCCUUCUCUGGGGUCACCUGCGUCAAUAUAUGUGCCUCCUGCUCUCAAUUGUGUAGCCACUUGUGCUGAAACCUGCGAUGGCAUACACUCUUCAUGCACAUCCAGCUGUGUUAACACCUCUGCUCUAUUUAAGGUCACCUCCAUAGACUCGUCCUCCUUCAACUGUGAGGACACCCAUUCGAUUCCAACUGUGUUGACAAAAUCUCUCCAAAAAUAGUCCCCAAACGCUUCUAUCAUCUGUGACAUUAGGAACAGAAACGUGUUCGUGUCUAAAGCUUCUGAGGCAUCUUGUGUUCUUUUCAUUUCUUCUAUUUCCAUUAUCCAUUCCGCCCACGUUGAUUUGAAAACAUAUUUGUCCACGUUUUUUUCUUCCAUUGCCUCUCUUAACCGGGCUUGCAAUUCGGAUUUCAAACCAUUCGUUGCUAACCCUGUUGUUCCAACUCCUUUUUGAUUUGUGGUAUCCUUAAUUCGUUUAACUUAGCCAUUAUCAUCAUCAUCAUCAUCCCUUUCUUGCACAUUACAUUCAUCAUUUAACAAUUUAUAUAUUCCUCUUGCACAAUUCUGAGAAUGAUCUUGGUAUAAUCAUGGAUGAAAGACCCAAAA